GGUGAGUAACACGUGGGUAACCUGCCCUUAAGUGGGGGAUAACAUUUGGAAACAGAUGCUAAUACCGCAUAGAUCCAAGAACCGCAUGGUUCUUGGCUGAAAGAUGGCGUAAGCUAUCGCUNNUGGAUGGACCCGCGGCGUAUUAGCUAGUUGGUGAGGUAAUGGCUCACCAAGGCGAUGAUACGUAGCCGAACUGGGAGGUUGAUAGGCCACAUUGGGACUGAGACACGGCCCAAACUCCUACGGGAGGCAGCAGUAGGGAAUCUUCCACAAUGGACGCAAGUCUGAUGGAGCAACGCCGCGUGAGUGAAGAAGGCUUUCGGGUCGUAAAACUCUGUUGUUGGAGAAGAAUGGUCGGCAGAGUAACUGUUGUCGGCGUGACAGUAUCCAACCAGAAAGCCACGGCUAACUACGUGCCAGCAGCCGCGGUAAUACGUAGGUGGCAAGCGUUAUCCGGAUUUAUUGGGCGCAAAGCGAGCGCAGGCGGUUUUUUAAGUCUGAUGUGAAAGCCCUCGGCUUAACCGAGGAAGCGCAUCGGAAACUGGGAAACUUGAGUGCAGAAGAGGACAGUGGAACUCCAUGUGUAGCGGUGAAAUGCGUAGAUAUAUGGAAGAACACCAGUGGCGAANGCGGCUGUCUGGUCUGUAACUGACGCUGANGCUCGAAAGCAUGGGUAGCGAACAGGAUUAGAUACCCUGGUAGUCCAUGCC
rnacentral:rRNA from 1 species